CCGAAGAAAAGCAUUCCAGCUCCAGGAGCACCACACAUGCAAGAAAUUGGAGACUUAAUUUAUUCUCUAAAGAUGAACUGAAAAUCUAGCUAAUCAUAAAAGCUGCUAUCAAACCUACAUGAACAGAAGCAGAACGGAUGCUCUUUUAAGAACCAGUCCGUGGGAGCCACCGUGCCUGGCCAUAUUGUUCUGUGGCGGGAUAACCAAGGCUACGUGAUCAGAUGUUAACCCACUCGACGCACAGGAAAAUGGCUACAUGGCAGGAGGACCAGGAGUCCCGGAGGGGCGCUGGGAUGGGUCUGGGAGGAGCGCCCCGGGUCACUGCCGCCACGGGGCUCCGCGCUGGGGCAGGCUACGCACAAACAACUGUUUCUGCAUCACCCAGUGGCGCCGCGAUCACUUCCCGGUGGACAGCCUGAGCGCACGUCGUCGUAGACCUUCAGCCAGCCCUCGGAGGAACUGCGUUUGAAAAUUCUCAAGUAGAAAGAACGGAAACUAUUAGGAGAUUCCUUCUCCCGCGGGCACUUUCUUCCCCCUCCGGUCUUUUUCAUUCUCCCUUAACUAGUUCCUAGAAAUAUCCACCGGCUGCUUCCUUUCUGGUCUUGUAUAUGUAAAUCAAAGUCACUGGUUUCCAGUCUCUCUGCUGAGUCUGGGUUUUUACCUCCUUUGUUAACCAUACCAGUUCUGCUUAA